rnacentral:hammerhead_ribozyme from 1 species
AUCUAACUGACGAGUCCCAAACAGAACGAAACGCGCGUGCUGGAU